rnacentral:tRNA from 1 species
GUGACCAUAGUGUAAUGGUAACACAGGAGUUUGUGGUACUCCUAUUACGGGUUCAAUUCCCGUUGGUCACCCCA